AAGCUGUAAACAUAAUUGUGAAAUGUUUAAUGAGAAAUUCAGAUUAAAUUCAUUUACUCUUACAAAUUUGUUAUGGUAUCAGAGCAACAUUAAAACUAAGAAAAACAAGAAAUAGCUCGUUUCUUCAAAUCAAAAUCAUUUACAGAUUGAAAUCAAAGCUUCCGCAAUUACUCUGUUCAAAUCCAAACUUAAGGUUUUCUGGAUAUAAAUACAUCAUUGUUAUUGAUUCACAUUAUAUCUUUCAUUCUAAUCUUUGUCAUCUUCCUUUUCUUUCUCUUGUUCUUGACAAUUAUUUUUCUGAGAAACCCUAAUUUCUUCAUUUUCUUUCUAGUUUCUUCAAUUUCUACAAUAAUGGCGUCGUUUAUAAACAUGGAAACAGAUCCUUCUAGUCCAUUUUACUUACAUCCGAAUAAGAAUCCUGCUUUAGUUCUAGUUUCACCAUCAAUGAAUGAUAAGAACUAUCAUUCUUGGUGUAGAUCGAUGAGAAUGUGUCUUUUGUCUAAAAAUAAGUUGAAAUUUAUGGAUGGGAGUAUUCCAAUUCCUUCAAAGCUUGAUCAAAUCUAUCCAAUCUGGGAGAGGUGUAACACGAUGGUGUUAUCUUGGAUCUUAAGGUCGCUAUCUGCUUCUAUAGCACAGAGUGUUCUGUGGAUGGACAAUGCAGUGGAUGUGUGAAAAGAUUUGUAUGACAAAUUCUCUCAAGAGAAGUUUGUAUCAUACAGGAUCACAUCAAUUAGAAGAUGAUUGGAUUAGCUAGAAAGGUGCAAGGACUCUAUCAACUACAUGUUCUGCUGUUAUGAAUAAAACUGUUGCUGGUGUUUCUGAUGUUAAUAAGCAUGUUAUUGAUAAAACUGAGAAUACUUGUUCUAGACAUAUUUCUAAUGAUUUUUUGUGGCAUUAAAGAUUAGGUCAUUUGGCAGAUUCAAGAUUAAAAUGUAUACGGUCUAUAGAUUCUUCAGUUAGUUUGCCUUUAACUAAGCAUUGUAAGAUUUGUCAUAUGGCUAAGCAAAGAAAUAUAACCUUUCCAAUAAGCACUUAUACUGUUCAUAACUGUUUUGAUUUAUUGCAUAUUGAUAUUUGAGACCAUCUAAAGUUGUUUCUAUGUAUGGUCACAAAUAUUUUUUGA